rnacentral:rRNA from 1 species
AACGAACGCUGGCGGCAGGCCUAACACAUGCAAGUCGAACGCUCCAGCAAUGGAGAGUGGCAGACGGGUGAGUAACGCGUGGGAACCUACCCUUUGGUUCGGAAUAGCCCAGGGAAACUUGGGGUAAUACCGGAUAAGCCCUUCGGGGGAAAGAUUUAUCGCCAUUGGAUGGGCCCGCGUCGGAUUAGCUAGUUGGUGGGGUAAUGGCCUACCAAGGCGACGAUCCGUAGCUGGUCUGAGAGGAUGAUCAGCCACACUGGGACUGAGACACAGCCCAGACUCCUACGGGAGGCAGCAGUGGGAAAUAUUGGACAAUGGGCGCAAGCCUGAUCCAGCCAUGCCGCGUGAGUGACGAAGGUCUUCGGAUUGUAAAGCUCUUUUGGCGGGGACGAUAAUGACGGUACCCGCAGAAUAAGCUCCGGCUAACUUCGUGCCAGCCGCCGCUGUAA